CCCUCUCCGCGCCCCUGCUGGUCGCGACUGCGCGCGCAGAACCGGAGUCGGCCCCGGCGGGAAGGGGAAGCGGCGGGGUGGGACCAGAUUAUGGGCAACAGUCCUUUUAAUUAAUCUAUCAUCAUCAUGGCUAAUGAGGGCUGUCCCAAGGCUGGUGAAAGUCCUUUUUCAUCAGAUAAACAUGCCCAACUCAUCUUGGCCCAGAUUAAUAAACUGAGGAACGGACAGCAUUUCUGUGAUGUGCAGCUGCAAGUCGGGAAGGAAACUUUUAAAGUUCAUCGGCUGGUUUUGGCUGCCAGUAGCCCUUACUUUGCAGCUUUGUUCACUGGAGGAAUGAAGGAGUCCUCAAAAGAUGUUGUACAGAUUUUAGGAAUUGAAGCUGGAAUCUUUCAAAUACUUCUAGAUUUCAUUUACACAGGUAUAGUAAACAUAGGUGUGAAUAAUGUCCAGGAGUUGAUUGUUGCUGCAGACAUGCUACAGUUGACUGAAGUUGUCAAUCUUUGCUGUGAAUUUCUGAAAGGACAAAUUGAUCCACUGAACUGCAUUGGGAUCUUUCAGUUCUCUGAGCAAAUUGCCUGCCAUGAUCUUCUGGAAUUCACGGAAAACUACAUUCAUGUCCACUUCUUAGAGGUUCAUAGUGGGGAAGAGUUCCUGGCACUUACAAAAGAUCAGCUAGUCAAAAUCUUGCGAAGUGAAGAGCUUAGCAUUGAGGAUGAAUACCAGGUCUUCUUAGCUGCAAUGCAGUGGAUUCUGAAAGAUCUAGGAAAGAGAAGAAAACACGUGGUGGAAGUGCUAGACCCAAUUAGAUUCCCUUUAUUACCUCCUCAAAGGCUUUUAAAGUAUAUAGAAGGAGUAUCCGAUUUUAAUCUUCGUGUUGCAUUGCAAACACUUUUGAAAGAGUACUGUGAGGUGUGCAAAUCUCCCAAAGAGAACAAGUUUUGUAGUUUUCUGCAGACAUCUAAGGUUCGACCUAGGAAGAAAGCAAGAAAGUACCUGUAUGCAGUAGGUGGAUAUACUCGGUUGCAGGGGGGUCGUUGGAGUGAUAGCAGAGCCCUCAGCUGUGUAGAACGUUUUGACACCUUUAGCCAAUACUGGACCACUGUGUCUUCACUUCAUCAGGCUCGAUGCGGACUGGGAGUAGCAGUUCUGGGAGGGAUGGUCUACGCUAUUGGAGGUGAAAAGGAUUCAAUGAUUUUUGACUGUACUGAAUGCUAUGAUCCAGUUACUAAACAGUGGACAACUGUAGCUUCAAUGAAUCAACCCCGCUGUGGCUUAGGAGUCUGUGUGUGUUAUGGGGCUAUCUAUGCUUUGGGUGGAUGGGUUGGAGCUGAGAUAGGGAACACCAUUGAACGAUUUGAUCCUGAUGAAAAUAAAUGGGAAGUAGUUGGCAACAUGGCUAUGUCACGCUACUACUUUGGGUGCUGUGAAAUGCAAGGUUUAAUUUAUGUAGUUGGGGGCAUCAGCAAUGAAGGAAUAGAGCUUCGUUCUUUUGAAGUUUAUGAUCCACUUUCCAAGCGUUGGUCUCCACUUCCUCCAAUGGGAACCAGGAGAGCAUAUCUUGGAGUGGCUGUACUCAAUGACUGCAUCUAUUCUAUUGGCGGGUGGAAUGAGACACAAGGUGCUCUUCAUACUGUAGAAAAAUAUUCCUUCGAAGAGGAAAAGUGGGUUGAAGUUGCCUCAAUGAAAGUGCCUAGAGCAGGCAUGUGUGUUGUGGCAGUCAAUGGGCUUCUGUAUGUUUCUGGAGGUCGAUCUUCCAGCCAUGAUUUCUUGGCCCCAGGUACCUUGGACUCAGUUGAAGUUUAUAACCCUCAUUCAGAUACAUGGACAGAAAUCGGUAACAUGAUCACCAGUCGUUGUGAAGGAGGUGUUGCUGUACUAUGAAAUGUAAAGCAUAAGAGAGCACAACAGUUUGAAAAUACAGAAUCUGAGCUUUUACAAAUCACAUAUGUAUUUGGUGUUAGGACCCUCUGAUUCUAUUGAUUUUCCAUGUUUUGGUAGAUAAAUGACUAAAGAAUGAUUUUUCUAAGAAUUUGAGUGAGAAGGGAUAUGGAAUAUAUCCUCAAUUAAUGAAGAGCUCACACAAAUUUGCCAACUUUACCAAUAGAAAUGCUGUUUAUGCUCUAAAAUUGUCCAGUUAGGGGUAGAGUCCUGUUUGUAAAAAUGAUUUACUAGAAGCUUCUUGGCAAAUAUCCCCUUUAGCUGCUUCUCCAGUGGAAUUCAAGCUGUAACAUGACCCUCAUGUGAUAAAAUAAUAUCAGUGAGACAGUUUAAAGAUGUCUGUACAUUCAUGAUUCAAUCCAGAGCACAAUUUUCCAUGGCCAUAGUUUGGCCUACAGAGAAAAGCCAAUGAAACAAUUUCCUACUUUUAUUUGAUGCCAGGAGUUUUCACUAGCCCCAAACUUUUUAUUGGCAGCACAUAUACUGGGAGGGACAUGUGGGAAAUAUCUAGCUAUUUAUUUAGAUAGAUGAGUUUUCGCCUGUUGAUAACAGCAUAAAAAAAGCUUUUGCUCACUUAUGUUUUCUGUCUUCAUGCUGAGAAUGCAAGUGAGGAAUUAAUAGGAGGUUCUUAGAGAUAGUCCUCUAUUGCAAUAGGAUGAUGUAAUGGGUUAUAGAGCCCAGCAUGUGGUAUGCACCUAGUAAAUUUCUUCCUUAUUUUCUAAAUAAUUACCAAAAAUAUGUUUGGCUUUGAGAAGAGAGAAUUUUAUUAGAUUAUCAAGCUUUGGGAAGCCUAUUUGUACUUGAGAAAUCUUAAGUAUGAGCUUUCAAAACAAAGCUGCUGCCUGGCUUGGAGAAGGUGGAAUUGUAGGUACCUGUGAAACUUUUUAUAGACACUGACUCGUAAGUGUAAGUUGAAAGACCUCUGAUCCAAAACUGCUUCCCAAAACUUCUCAUUUUCCCCCUGAGAAGCAUUCUAAAGAAUUGUUCUGUCCACUUCUGAAAGGAAUAUUCUUCAAAUACAUGAUCAUCACUUUUUAUUUCUACUAGUCAGUUGGAGCCAUAUAUAUUAAAGGUCUUGCACACAUUUAGGUUUACCUAGCUGAUUCCAGGAUUUGAUUUGUAUAUCCCUGAUUGCCCCUUUUCUUUACUAAAGUCCUUUGGUAUGAUGUUAUAGGCAUCAGCAGCUUAUUUAGAUAGAAAACCUUGGUAAGUAUUAAAGACUCAGGUAGCACUCAUAUCCAAAAUAUUUGGAUUGGCCCACAAGGAUACUUUCUUUCAUAACUUAACCAUAUGCAUGUAUUAAGAAAAGCUUAUGUAGUGCAGACAGAAAGCUCUGUGUCCCUUUCUUUGCGGCAUCCUCAAAGUCAGAAGGGUCACAGAUGCCUGUAAAAUGUCAAGGAAUGAAGUAUCAAGAUAGAUUAUUUAAGCUCUAACUCAUGUGCCCUUAAUAUUUCUAGUUACAGAGAAUCUGUAUUCUGGUUCAAAAGAGAUUUAUAAAAUGCUCUUAUAAUUGAAUUCUCAUUAUUACCUGCUGCCAACCUAAAAUGGCACUGUGAAGGGAGGCAUUUUGUACUGCUGUGGCAGAAAUGUAAUGUCAAGACAAUCAGUGUUUGGGCUUAAUAGGUCCAGAAAUCCUUGAAAAUAGGUAAUUGUAAAUAUGCUUAUUAUUUCCUAGGUAAUGACAGAUUGUUUUAAAAAGAAUGUACUAAUAAAGUAUCUUGAUUUUUG